UGGAGUUUAAUGUGAAGGGAUUUAAAAGUCAAACAGAAGAGUCUCUGUUUGAUUCUUAGAGACAAGAGGAGUGAUAUGCUCCAACAUGUACUUUGGGAAUAUUAUUUUAGUACCUUGUGGAGCAUAGAUGGAGAUGGGAGAGAUGAGACUGCAAGUUAGAACAAUCAGGAACUUAUUGACAAGGGCCUGAACUGGGGUAGUGGCUGUUUGGAAAGAGAGAAGGACAAAGAAUGUUAGUGGUGUCCUGGAAUUAGAUUGAAGAAGCUUGGACACGGGCUGUGGAAGGUGAAAGAGAAUGAUGACGUUAGGGUUCCCGAGCUUGUGCACCUGGAGACUGGAAGGUUUGCUGUUAGGUAAAAUAAAGGUCCAGGAUUCAUCUUCAUAGAGAUGAAAAUGGCAUCCUUGGGAUCUGAUUAGAUGAGAGAGAUUAAAGAGAAAAAAAAUAGAAGAGGACAACAAAAUUAUAGAUCUGAAGGUAGAAGGGAUCUCAGAGGCCAUGCAGUUCACAGUCACACCAGCCCAGCCCCUGACAUUUUACAAAUGAGAAACUGAAGCCCAGAGUGAAUUGAUCAAGGUCACAGUUAAACCAGGCCUGGGCAAACAUUCAAGUUGUGGGAGCUGGGAGGGAAGGCUGUGAGCAGAGGAAGCACCCAAAGUGAAGAACUGACAGGUGGAGCACUUUCCAGACAUUCUGGUUCAACAGUCAGAAGUGAGAACAUCUAUUUAUCUCUGAAGCAGUCAUAUGGGGAGUAUUUCCGUAUGUUUCAGAUUUUGUUGAAGAGGGAACUUCCAAGGGCAAGAACUUAUGUUGCAAAGCUGGUUUCAAGCCAAAGUGUGAACAGAGGAAGCUUGUUUCUAGCUCCAGCCUAUCUCCCCUUUCAAGACCUGUUUGUUCUCCGUUUCAGUCCGACAGGGCUUGGCUCUCAGCUAAUGAUCACAGAUGGAAGAUGAGCUGAUAGAAUAAUGCUGGCCAAGGUUUUAACUGAUGGAAAUUGAAGGUGUUACUACUCCCAGGGGGAUUUGCAUUCUAAUUCAUUGAAUAUAAAGACUAAAAACUUCUGCAAGUUCAAAUAAAUUAAUCGCUAAAAAGUGUGAUUUCAGGCAUCAUGACAAUCAGCAUUAAGGGAUAUAUUUGGUACUUGUGGGGAAGGUAGAUUUCCUAUUAUAAUAUAGAGGCAGUUGCUUAGUGUACUGUACUUUAACAAAUGAAAUGCCUAUAAUGCAUCAAUCAAUCAAAAAAAAAAGCCCAAAACAUUGUGAUC